rnacentral:rRNA from 1 species
CCUACGGGUGGCAGCAGUAGGGAAUAUUGCUCAAUGGGGGAAACUCUGAAGCAGCAACGCCGCGUGGAGGAUGAAGGUUUUCGGAUUUUAAACUCCUUUUGUUAGAGAAGAUAAUGACGGUAUCUAACGAAUAAGCACCGGCUAACUCCGUGCCAGCAGCCGCGGUAAUACGGAGGGUGCAAGCGUUACUCGGAAUCACUGGGCGUUAAGAGCGCGUAGGCGGGUUAGCAAGUCAGAUGUGAAAUUCUAUGGCUUAACCAUAGAACUGCAUUUGAAACUGUUAGUCUAGAGUAUGGGAGAGGUAGGCGGAAUUCUUGGUGUAGGGGUAAAAUCCGUAGAGAUCAAGAGGAAUACUCAUUGCGAAGGCGACCUGCUAGAACAUAACUGACGCUGAUGCGCGAAAGCGUGGGGAGCAAACAGGAUUAGAUACCCCUGUAGUC